AUAUUAUAUAUAUAUAUAUAUAUACUUUUUCUUUUUUUGCAAGGAGGGUACUUUAAAGGCACUGAUGAAUGAGAAGCCAUCCUGUCAAGCUGGCUGGGACCAGAUUAAAUCCAAUGAGGCUGACACUAACUUGGGGUGAGUGAGUGGUUAUGAUGGGGCUGAAAAGUAGGAAAGCAUUUCUUCAAACACACCUGGCCAUUGUUCCCAAAGAAAAAGUGAAGAGACUUUGCAAAAAUUUCAGGUUACAAAACAUUUCUUAGGAUCUAUCCAUGCCCGGAGCCUCAUCAGAGCCAUCUAAGUCCAUCGAUUAUUAUAUGUGUCAUCUAAGCUAUUCAUUAACUCAGGAAAAAGUCACAGACAAGUGUUUAGAAAAAUGCACAGAGGUUACAUGAAGAUGUAUAUUUUUCCAAACCAGCACUUAUGUUAAGGUAUGUCAGAACUAUCUACAAGUUACUUUAAUGGGACCACUUUCUAAAUGCAACAAGUUCAGUAAAUCACUCUACUUUUCUUUGUCUUUUCAUCUUGCAUGUAAAAUUUUAACCACAGUGGAGGGAGAAAAUCUUUGGCCCAAAAAACAAAUGUCUUAUCCACAGAUACAGGGUCAAAUAUCACUGGUAAGUGGCAUAAAAUGCUUCAAAGUAUUCCUGUGCUUGUGCAGUUGCUCUAAGGACUUAAAGAGGGAAAUCUUAAAGCAACAUGCUCUGAUCAGGAAACAGCUGGCAAUGGCAGCGACCUGAUAUGGAGCCAUCAAGAACUGAAGGUUUAUUUUGAAUGAGAGGUGUUGUCCAGCUGUGAGACUGAGUGAUGGCAGCUGAGAAUAAGUACACAAGCAAUCAUGACUCCAGGUAUGAAGUUAUUGAGACUGUAUCUUGUUUUCCUUCUUUUUCUGCUAUUGCAUCCAUACGGCUGCGUUCAAUCCUAUCUGUGGAGGAGGAAUAAAGUUCUUCAGUUUAUUCUUCUUAUUAACGAC
rnacentral:lncRNA from 1 species